rnacentral:rRNA from 1 species
AUUGAACGCUGGCGGCAGGCCUAACACAUGCAAGUCGAACGAGUGGCGGACGGGUGAGUAAUGUGUGGGAAACUGCCUGAUGGAGGGGUAUAACUACUGGAAACGGUAGCUAAUACCGCAUACUCUCGGAUGUGCCCAGAUGGGAUUAGCGAGUGGGUGGGGUAACGGCUCACCUAGGCGACGAUCCCUAGCUGGUCUGAGAGGAUGACCAGCCACACGGGAACUGAGACACGGUCCAGAAUCCUACGGGAGGCAGCAGUGGGGAAUAUUGGACAAUGGGCGCAAGCCUGAUGCAGCCAUGCCGCGUGUAUGAAGAAGGCCUUCGGGUUGUAAAGUACUUUCAGCGGGGAGGCGUUACCCGCAGAAGAAGCACCGGCUAACUCCGUGCCAGCAGCCGCGGUAAUAC